AUGCAUUGAGCCGUCCGAUUUGGAUGAACGCUUCAGAUUCGGUCAUUAGAUCAAAACGUACAAAGUCUUACUGCACCACCACGUUGGAUUCUCAGCACAAAGCCACAAAACAAGCGAAGACAGAGAACUUUCGCCAUCAGAAACUUGAAAUUUAGUCGACCAAAAGGAAUCUGGUAAUAUCUGCUUUCAAAUUCAUGAGUUUCUUAAUUUUUGUUGCCGGUUUUCUCUUCUGGAUUCUUCCACUUUAACCUCUUUGAUUUAUGGUUACUUAGAAAUAGAUAACUGUAGGCAUGAGCCAGAGUAAGGUUGUGAACGAUAUUAAGGAGAUGCUGGAAGGGGCAGAGGCACCUGAAACCGACGAGUGUUGCAUCUACAAAGUACCCUUUGAUAUUCGGAAACUCAACGAAGAUGCCUACACCCCAAGGGUGGUUUCUAUUGGUCCUUUUCACCACAAGGGUCAUCCUCGCCUUCUUAACAUGGAAAGGCACAAACGUAUUUAUUGCAAGGCAUUUCUCAAACGAACACAAACAUCCUUGGACACCUGGAUCCGCCACAUAGAAGGGGAGGAGUCCAAAUUCCGUGGCUGUUAUUCAGACUCCCUUGAGUUCACCAAGGAGGAACUGGUGAAAAUCAUCUUUGUCGAUUCUGGUUUUAUAUUUGAACUUUUUUGGAGUACCUAUUAUGAUGAGUGGUCAGGGAAUGACUCCUUUCUUUUGAAGCCUUGGUUGACCACUAAUAUAAGAUUAGAUCUGUUGUUACUUGAGAAUCAGCUUCCUUAUUUUAUGCUUGAAGAUCUCUUUAAUCUGUCCUACCCCUCUAGAUCUGCCUCUAGUAACAAUAAAAUCCCUUCAUUUAUUGAGCUUACUUUUGACUAUUUUGCCUAUUACAACAGAUCCAAUUUGCUUUUUCAUAAUGUUAGCAUAAGGCACUUCACGGAUCUCAUAAGAACUUUCCACUUACAACAUCCUAAGCAAAGGCGAUCCCUUAGGACUGAUGAAUCGGUCAUACAUCUUCAUAGUGCUACUGAGCUGCUAGAAGCAGGAGUGAGGUUUAAGGACAAUAAAAGAAGUAACUGCUUGCUGGACUUGAAAUUUUCAGGAGGGGUUCUUGAAAUCCCACAGUUGAAAGUGGAAGAUUGGACUGAACUAUUGUUCCGCAACUUGGUGGCGUUGGAGCAGUGUCACUACCCUUACGAAUCCUACAUUACAGACUACGUUGCUAUUUUGGACUUCCUUGUGAACACAGGGAGAGAUGUGGAUAUACUGGUUCAAAAGAGAGUUCUGGUGAACUGGCUUGGAGAUAGUGAUUCUGUGGCUGAUUUGUUUAAUGGUCUUUGGAAAAAUAUUACACAUUUAAAUUUCAAUGACAGUUACUUUCGUAUGUGCCAAGAUAUGAAUGCUUUUUAUAGAGAUCCUUGGCAUAAAAUGAAGUCUACUUUGAGAAGGGAUUAUUGUAGCAGUCCUUGGCAAACUGCUGCUACCAUUGCUGGAAUUGUUCUCCUUAUUCUCUCUUUAGUUCAAACAGUUUGUUCUAUCUUACAAGUAAUACAGCAAUAGAAUGAGAUUGUUUUCGUCCUUCACAAAAUUAAUCUGUUGAAUAUGCAUAGAGUUCAGUGCUACUCCUCAAGUCUCUAGUGAAAAAUUAUGAUCUCAUGAAACUAAUAUCAACCCCGCUUCAAAGUUGUGAGAUCAAGACUUAAUACAUGCCAUGGCAGGAGUAAAGGUGCAUUGUAGCUUGCGGGAACUGAAGAAUUUGCUGGGAAAACAACUAAACAAGUAGAUUUAGCUUGCUUAAUUCAAAGGUCAUCAUAGCCAUUUUCAUCUCAGUCUAGGAUGAGAAGUAAUUAUAUUUAAGAAAAAUAUUAGUAACACAUUGUAUAACACUUUUUAGCUUGCUCAACACACUUUCUAUCUACCACUAUAGUUUGCCAGAAGUAAAGGGUUAGAUUUAGAAUAUGUAAAA